rnacentral:ncRNA from 1 species
AUUUAGCAGAUUUGUCAUGUUAAGGGAAAAGGGUGAAAUCCCCUUGCUGUAGUCGCAGCUGUAACCGGAUAUGAGGAUUAGAAUAUGUCACCGUUUAUUACUCAAUCUUUGAUGAGGAAAGAACGGGAAGACCUAAUCUGAAGAUGACCCGGGAGCCAGAAGACCUAGCAUGAUGCUCUUCAAUAG